UUUUUCCAUAUUUCUUAACUAUUAAUAAACUAUUAAUGUAUAAUUGUUUCAUUUUAUAUAAAGGACCAAAAUUAGCAUUUAAAAUGGGUCUACACUGGGAAAUGUGUGAGAAUUAAAGAAUUUAAACAUCGUGGAGUGUCAUUUCAAAAAUUUCUAAAAGAUAGUGAGAGAAAAAUUAAAUGGUUUUCUCUGUUAGGAUUUAUUCAUAGCAUAAUAUUAAAAAGUCGAGCAAAAGAGAACUCAAGAACAGCUGAUUUUUUUAUAAGGAAUUGAAGAAAAUAUUUAAAAACUGAUGAAUUUUCACAGCCAUUUAUGUCGCGAUUUAUGGUGUUUCAGUUGUUUUAACAUCACCUAGGAAAUUAACAUUAAGAUAUCAGGAUCCUGCAGAUAACGAGAUAAGAAGUAUGAUCUUGUUAUAGGAUACCUAUUCCGUCACAAUAUGAAGUGAAGAUAUUCAUGGUGUGGAAGUCGUUACUUUAAUUACAUAGUGCAUAUGAAAUUGGUCCUUUACAACAUGUUUAAAAUUGACGUAAUGCUACUAUGCAAAAUAGUGAGAGAUGUGAACCUUAGGCAGAGCUACAGAAUUACUUUUGUUGAGAGACAAAUUAUGAUAGUGAUUGGAAUCGCAUAUUCUA
rnacentral:lncRNA from 1 species